AUGAGUUACGUUCAACAGGCACGCGAGAAUCACGUCAAGAAGAAAGUUGAAGAAGCUUUACGCAGCAAAAUGAAGAAUAUGGCACUUAAGGAGUGUGAUGAGUAUACAAAGAAAUAUGCUGAGUGUGCUUUGGGGAGAACGCUUUCAGUUGUUUGGCAAUGCCGUCAACAAGCUAAAGAGUUGAAUAAUUGUCUUCAUCAAUUCACCAAUGAUUCAGUCUUGGAGGAAAUGAAGAAACAAUACAAUCUAAAAGAAAGUGGAGAGGGGGCCGUUAGAAUCUAG